AGUGAACGCUGGCGGUAGGCCUAACACAUGCAAGUCGAACGGCAGCACAGUAAGAGCUUGCUCUUACGGGUGGCGAGUGGCGGACGGGUGAGGAAUACAUCGGAAUCUACUUUUUCGUGGGGAUAACGUAGGGAAACUUACGCUAAUACCGCAUACGACCUACGGGUGAAAGCAGGGGAUCUUCGGACCUUGCGCGAUUGAUUGAGCCGAUGUCGGAUUAGCUAGUUGGCGGGGUAAAGGCCCACCAAGGCGACGAUCCGUAGCUGGUCUGAGAGGAUGAUCAGCCACACUGGAACUGAGACACGGUCCAGACUCCUACGGGAGGCAGCAGUGGGGAAUAUUGGACAAUGGGCGCAAGCCUGAUCCAGCCAUACCGCGUGGGUGAAGAAGGCCUUCGGGUUGUAAAGCCCUUUUGUUGGGAAAGAAAAGCAGCAGGUUAAUACCCCGCUGUUCUGACGGUACCCAAAGAAUAAGCACCGGCUAACUUCGUG
rnacentral:rRNA from 1 species